rnacentral:rRNA from 1 species
UGCCUCAGUAACGGCGAGUGAAGCGGCAGCAGCUCAAAUUUGAAAUCUGGCCCCCCCCGGGGCCCGAGUUGUAAUUUGCAGAGGGUGCUUCGGGCGAGGCGCCGGCCUAAGUUCUUUGGAACAGGACGUCAUAGAGGGUGAGAACCCCGUAUGCGGCCGGCGACCGAGCCCGUGUGAAGCUCCUUCGACGAGUCGAGUUGUUUGGGAAUGCAGCUCAAAAUGGGUGGUAAAUUUCAUCUAAAGCUAAAUAACAGCCGGAGACCGAUAGCGCACAAGUAGAGUGAUCGAAAGAUGAAAAGCACUUUGGAAAGAGAGUUAAAAAGUACGUGAAAUUGUUGAAAGGGAAGCGUUUGCAACCAGACCUGCACCCGGGCGAUCAGCCCCCGUUCUCGGGGGUGCACUCGCCCGGGAGCAGGCCAGCAUCGGUUCGGGCGGCAGGAAAAAACCGCGGGAAAGUAAUCGCCCGCUUUUGGGGGGUUUUAUAGCCCGCGGCCUAUGCUGCCCGCCCGGACCGAGGACCGCGCUUCGGCAAGGAUGCUGGCGUAAUGGUUGUAAGCGGCCCGUCUUGAAACACGGACCAAGGAGUGGAAUAUCUAUGCGAGUGUUUGGGCGUUAAACCCACGCGCGGAAUGAAAGUGAACGGAGGUGAGAACCCUGAAGGGCGCAUCAUCGACCGAUCCGGAAGUUUUACGGAUGGAUUUGAGUAAGAGCAUAGCUAUUCCGACCCGAAAGAUGAUGAACUAUGCCUGAAUAGGGUGAAGCCAGGGGAAACCCUGGUGGAGGCUCGCAGCGGUUCUGACGUGCAAAUCGAUCGUCAAAUUUGGGUAUAGGGGCGCACGUUCGCCCCUGAGAACCAGUCCUUCGGGGCGAGGCAUAUGGUCUGCGGGGAUGCUCAAGAUCCUGAGCUGCCCGCACCCGCCCCGAACGGGGCCGGGUCACAGGUCAAGCAUACGCCGGCGCCCUCGCGACGGGGGCGUUAAAAAUAUGAUCGGGCUGCGGCUGGCGAAGCCGCGGAGGCCCGGAAAGACUAAUCGAAUCAUCUGCACUAGGUGAUUCAUCAGAGUUUAUACGCCCUCCCAGGCGUAUAUCUCUCAGUCCGUUACGGGCGACAUCACUACUUGCAUGAAACUCGCUCUCGCGGGCUGGGUGACAUGCAGCGGGGGGGGGCGUCCCCCGCUCACAGACCAAAUGGUGAUGGCCAGAAGGAUCUGGUUGUAAAAUGGCCGAGUCCUACCUCCUGAACGGGGUUCGCCUCGAAAG